rnacentral:rRNA from 1 species
UAAGGUGGUUAUUGCGGCGGGGCUCACCUCUUCCCAUUCCGAACAGAGAAGUUAAGCCCGCCUGCGCAGAUGGUACUGCAUCUUGUGGGAGAGUAUGUCACCGCCUUUC